rnacentral:rRNA from 1 species
AGCCGCGAGGUAGAGCAAAUCUCAAAAAAACAAUCUCAGUUCAGACUGCAGGCUGCAACUCGCCUGCACGAAGUCGGAAUUGCUAGUAAUCGUAGGUCAGCAUACUACGGUGAAUACGUUCCCGGGCCUUGUACACACCGCCCGUCAAACCAUGAGAGUUGGCAACACCCGAAGUCGGUAGUCUAACCGCAAGGAGGACGCCGCCGAAGGUGGGGUUGAUGAUUAGGGGUUAAGUCGUAACAAGGUAGC